AGAGUUUGAUCAUGGCUCAGAACGAACGUUAGCGGCGCGCUUAACACAUGCAAGUCGAGCGAGAAAGGGCUUCGGCCCCGGUACAGCGGCGCACGGGUGAGUAACACGUAGGUAACCUACCCUCGAGUGGUGGAUAACUCUCCGAAAGGAGAGCUAAUACAGCAUAAGACCACGACUUCGAAAGAAGUUGAGGUCAAAGCAGGCCUCUUCAUGAAAGCCUGCGCUUGAGGAUGGGCCUGCGGCCCAUCAGCUAGUUGGUGGUGUAAAAGACCACCAAGGCAGAGACGGGUAGCUGGUCUGAGAGGAUGAACAGCCACACUGGAACUGAGACACGGUCCAGACUCCUACGGGAGGCAGCAGUGGGGAAUAUUGGACAAUGGGCGAAAGCCUGAUCCAGCCAUGCCGCGUGUGUGAAGAAGGUCUUCGGAUUGUAAAGCACUUUAAGUUGGGAGGAAGGGUUGUAGAUUAAUACUUUGCAAUUUUGACGUUACCGACAGAAUAAGCACCGGCUAACUCUGUGCCAGCAGCCGCGGUAAUAC
rnacentral:rRNA from 1 species